CAAAAGUGUGGUAAAAGAAAUAGAAGAAGAUGUAGGUGACUCCAUCAGAAUUCUUGCUUCAAAAUUAGCUGGAGGUACUUGAAGCAGGACAUGGAAUGUACAAUUGUGAGGUUCAUGAAGAAUGUAGGCAAUGAUCCUAACAAGAUCAAUCCACUGGUACCUGUGGAUUUGGGGAUGCAAUGUUUCAGUGCUACUGAAUUUCCAUGCUAAUAAUGAUAUUAUAAA